GACGAACCGUACGAACGUUAUUCGGAAUUACUGGGCUUAAAGGGUGCGUAGGCUGCGCGGAAAGUUGGGUGUGAAAUCCCUCGGCUCAACCGAGGAACUGCGCCCAAAACUACCGUGCUCGAGGGAGACAGAGGUGAGCGGAACUUAGGGUGGAGCGGUGAAAUGCGUUGAUAUCCUAAGGAACACCCGGUGGCGAAAGCGGCUCACUGGGUCUCUUCUGACGCUGAGGCACGAAAGCUAGGGUAGCGAACGGG
rnacentral:rRNA from 1 species